AUUUUCAAUUGGUAGGAUUUGAAUGAGAGAUGAAAGCUUUUCUUUUCUUUUCUUAUCGAUUGAUGCGUGGCUGACAUUUCCUUCAUUGGUAUAAAUAAUUACCACCUUCUAAAUGAGUUUGGUCUUCUACAAGUAAGAAAUCGUGUAAUGGCUUGAUGACUUCUUGACCAAAUAGAAAAGUGAACGCAUGAUGACAUUAUAAAAUUGUACUGUAGGGUUUUGCCCUAAUCACUGUAUUCUCUUCCGUAGCUAGCCGCCCGCCCGUACUUCUUGUAAUUCUUUCUUCCUUCUUCUUUUUCUUUUUCUUUUUAUUUUUUUAUUUUACUGUAGGCCUCAGUCGUGAGUGAAGUUUGGUACGAAAAUAGGUCCAACCUUGUACCGCGAACUUGACAACGAAAUUGUGGAGGCAGGAUCAAUGCGAUGGUGCCAUGCAAUUGCGUUGUCGUAAUCCUCUCUAUUGUUUGAUUAUUGAUUUUACUAUCGCAUGCCUCCAUGCUUACUGACCCAUCCUUAUGCAUAGUGUAGUCGAUAUAUUUUUUUUCAGUUGCGGCUGAAGGGUCAUCUUUUCGGCAAGCACAGUUGAAGAAAACCCACGAGGUACGCACAGUUGAAGAAAACCUUCGAGAGACCAGAGCCUUGAGAAUUUUGAUGGCAAAUUGAAGAACGCGAACACCUAACCGCUUGGUUUCUUUUACGUCUUGGACGUGAGAUAAACCGUUGAAAGUGUUUAGGCUUUACGUACCCUGACAGUAAUUGAAGAACAAGAACACCUAACCGCUUGAUUUAUUCCACGUUUAAGAUGUGGGAUAAAUUGCUUAAAGUGUUUAGGUUUUGCGUAGACGUAUACUAUUCCGCAUGGUGUUCUCCAAGAGUUUCAAGAAGGACACAAACAUCAUCUUUGAAGAUAUCGAGGAUAUUGAAAGUGAUGGCACCACCUCUCAUCUAAGCUCGCUCAUCUCUAACAACUUCUCGCUCAUCCUUGAUUUAACUAAUAACUUUGAGAUCAUGGGUUCAAACCUCACAGACAUAUGUAAGGAUUGAUGAUUUUGUUGUCGACCGACCAUUCACACGCCGCCACGUGACAUUUUCGAAGACUUU